rnacentral:tRNA from 1 species
GCAUCUGUAGUUCAAUGGAUAGAAUGUCUGGCUUCGAACCAGAAGGUUGUGGGUUCAACUCCUGCCGGGUGCACCA